ensembl:lncRNA
AUGCCCAGGCUGGCCUGCUUUAUUGUGGUUCAAGAAGGAACGUCAUGCCCGCUUAAAUCCAGCAGCUCGGUUGGUUUGGAGAAGUUUGGCACAGGAAGGGGACAGUGCACUGCUCACAUCCCUCGAGUCCCUAGGAGGACACAGAGGACCUCGGCCUUUCACGCUGCCAGCAGGACUGAGAUGUGGACCCAGCUGCACAAACCUCCCGGGGCUGGGAUGGAACAGGGCAGCCCCAGACUCAUCAUGGAGAAGGAAAUGGGACCAGUGCCGCACGCUGAACGGUUUCUGGCAACCUCAUCUCAGGAGAGGUGGGUACAAACCCUUCAGUCUCAGUUUGCUGAUGUGGGUGUGAAAAAUCUGUCUUCACAUACAAUGGUGGGAUGGCAAGGAGACAUAGUUAGACUCAGGGAUGCCCAGAAAGCCCAUCCUCACAGCACUGCUUUAGUCUUUAGCCUACCCUUGGCAUUUACAUUCCUUUCUUCCCUAAAGGUUUUACAUUUAUCCAGUGUAAUGUGUCAGUGUGGUAGGGCUGUGCUGAGCAGAGGGGCAGCCCUAUUACCACCACCGCUGGCAUUCACCAGCACAGCUGUGCCAACAGGACAUAGGGCUAAGGCUGGGGUGCUGAUGUGGGAUCUCCCCACCUUCUCAUGCCCAGCCAACAUACCAGUUACCACCUUCCAGCUGCAAUCAGGGCUGCUAGAUGGGCAUUAUAUGUGUUCUGGAAAGCAAUAUGCGUGUUCUAGCAUAUUCCCCCAGAGCAGACAACUGCGACACGUUUCUUCAUGA